GAUGAACGCUGGCGGCGUGCUUAACACAUGCAAGUCGAACGGGAAUUACUUUAUUGAAACUUCGGUCGAUUUAAUUUAAUUCUAGUGGCGGACGGGUGAGUAACGCGUGGGUAACCUGCCUUGUACAGGGGGAUAACAGUCAGAAAUGACUGCUAAUACCGCAUAAGCGCACAGAGCUGCAUGGCUCGGUGUGAAAAACUCCGGUGGUAUAAGAUGGACCCGCGUUGGAUUAGCUAGUUGGUGAGGUAACGGCCCACCAAGGCGACGAUCCAUAGCCGGCCUGAGAGGGUGAACGGCCACAUUGGGACUGAGACACGGCCCAGACUCCUACGGGAGGCAGCAGUGGGGAAUAUUGCACAAUGGGGGAAACCCUGAUGCAGCGACGCCGCGUGAAGGAAGAAGUAUCUCGGUAUGUAAACUUCUAUCAGCAGGGAAGAGAUUGACGGUACCUGACUAAGAAGCCCCGGCUAACUACGUGCCAGCCGCCGCGGUAAAAC
rnacentral:rRNA from 1 species